rnacentral:rRNA from 1 species
AGGCUUAACACAUGCAAGUCGAGGGCAGCGCGGGGCGGCAACGUCCUGGCGGCGACCGGCGGAAGGGUGCGUAACGCGUGAGCGACAUGCCCGUUGCCCGGGGACAACCGGUGGAAACGCCGACUAAUCCCCGAUGGGACGGAGGCCCUCAUGGGUCUCUGUUGAAAGUUACGGCGGCGACGGAUUGGCUCGCGUCCGAUUAGCUUGUUGGCGGGGUAACGGCCCACCAAGGCUACGAUCGGUAGGGGUUCUGAGAGGAAGGUCCCCCACAAUGGAACUGAGACACGGUCCAUACUCC